UAUGUAUAAAUAGGCAUGUAAACCAAUUGUAAAAAUGAAGAGUGAAAUAUGAAAAUACUCUAAAUUUUUCCAAAUUCUUCACAUUGUAAUUUAGCGGUGGUAAUAACAAGAGAACUAGAUAUAGGAGAGAUAAGUGGCUUAGAGGCACCUCAAUCAACCAUGUUGAAGCCUACCAUAGAGAGAGAAAUAGAGAAGCAACAACAACUAGGGAGGAUUAGGCUACUGUGCAGAUAUGGAGAGAGAAAUAGAGUAGUAGUUAGGGAGGAUUUCCAAAGGAGGGCAACACAACCAUUCUAAGUUCUUGCGACAAAGGUGGUUGGAGGGCAGCUCAUGCACCGGCAUGUGGAUUAUUCUGAUACAUUCUCUUCGGUUGCCAAGCUCGCAUCUGUUUGAUUGUUUAUUUCCUUGAUAGCUACACAUGAUUGGUCUUUGCAUCAACUGGAUAUUAAAAAUGUUUUUCUCUAUGGUGACCUUCAAGAGGAGGUUUAUCUUGAUUUGUUGCUCAAGGGGAGUUCGACAAGAUUUGUAGACUUCCAAAAUUCCUCUAUGGCUUAAAACAGACUCCUCGGGCAUGGUUUGGUAGGUUUAGUAAGGUAGUCCAAUAGUUUGGAAUGAAGAUGAAUAAGUGUGAUCACUCAGUGUUUUAUAGAAAUUCUGAUAGUGGAGUAAUUUUGCUUGUAAUAUAUGUGGAUGAUAUCGUUAUCACAAGAAGUGACGCUGCUGGCAUCACAUACCUAAAAAAUUUCUUAAACCACAGUUUCAUACAAAGGAUUUAGCCUCCUUGAAAUACUUUUUGGGCAUCGAAGUUAUGCGGUGUAAGAAAGACAUCUUCUUAUCUCAAAGAAAAUAUGUUCUUGAUUUGUUGGCAGAAAUAGAAAAAUUGGGUGCUAAGCCUUGUAGUGCUCCAAUGACCCCUAACUUUCAACUUACCACAGAAGAUAGUGAGUCAUUUGCAGAUCCUGAAAUGUAUAGAAGAUUAGUUGACAAGUUGAAUUAUUUGACGGUGACUCAUCCUAAUAUUGGAUAUUCAGUGAGUGUAGUAAGUCAGUUUAUGUUCUCUCCUACUGUUGCUCAAUGGGAUGCUCUAGUACAGAUUCUUUGCUACUUGAAAGGGGCUUUAGGAUGAGGCCUCUUCUAUGGUAACGAUGGGCACUCAAAUAUUGAAUGCUUUUCUGAUACUGAUUGGGCAGGUUCGAAGGUUGAUAGGAGGUCAACCUUUGGAUAUUGUGUUUUUGUGGGAGGUAAUAUGGUCUUGUGGAGAAGUAAGAAGCAAAAUGUGGUCUCUUAUUCUAGUGCUGAAUCUAAAUAUCUAGCCAUGACACAAGCCGUAUAUGAAGUCUUGUGGGUGUGUCACCUGUUGGAAGAGGUUAGGUUCACAAAUUCGGUGUUGGUUAAGUUGUGGUGUAAUAAUCAAGCAGCUAUCCACAUUACCUCUAAUCCAAUAUUUCAUGAGAGGACUAAACAUAUCGAGAUUGACUGUUAUUUUUUUCGUGAGAAGGUCCAAUAAAAGAUAAUCUCAACAGGACAUCAGAACUGGAGAAUAAUUAGAAGAUUUCUUCACUAAAGCUCUAAAUGAGACUCAAGUUGAUUAUAUAUAUAAUAAGUUGGGCAUGAUUAACAUCUAUACUCCAACUUGAGGGGGAGUGUUAUAGGUUAUAGGAAGUAAAUAUGUUGAUACAAGAAGUAAAUAUUGAGAGAUGUGUUAGUUGCUUAAUCUCAGGGAUUGCAUGAUCAUAGCCUUGAUUUCCUUUCCUUUCCUUUCUAGAUACAGUUUCUCAUGUAUAAAUGUUGUAAUCUUUAUUGUAAUAGACACAACAAAUAUUACCUUUCUACAAAGGGGUUUAUUUUUAUUCAAUAACACAAGAAGAUUUAUUUUAAAAAUUGUGAGAUUUCGAGUCUUGAGGUGUAAGAGCUUCCUUUGAUGAGCUCAUUCCAAAUCAAUCAUCCCAUGACGCGAUCUAUAACCUGUGACCAUAACAUGGAUCUAAGGCAAAAAGCUUGUGAUGGCACAUCUAGAUGGAUGGCGAGAGCUCUAGUACCAAGAAAUCUUCCAGACAAUUGGUCACCAACAGCCAAGGAAUCUUCCUGUAUGGGUGGUGUACUUCAUUGCCUUCUAGAAAUCCCUCUCCUAGAAGGAUAGCUAUGGACAGGAAACAAAAGAAGAGAGAGAGAGAGAAAAGAACACAAAAGAAGAGAGAGAGAGAAAAGGACGGGCCCUUUUUAUGGCUUUGGUACCAUGUGAAAAAAAGAAGAGAAGAAUUUGGGAUUAGAAUGGCUUGAUUAUUGGAGAAUUUUGGGAGGAAUUUUUUAUUUUAUUUUAAUUGAAUUGAUCUUUACAAGGUUUGAGUAUUUAUACACAAAGAAUCAACCUAAAUUAAAAAUAUUUACAAUAAAAAUCAAUUCCUAUAAUCAAACCUAAUUAGGAUCUCAAAAAUUUGAAUCCUCCUGAUUAAGAGCCUUCUAUAUUGGUCAACACUCCUCAAGUUGGUACAUAGAUAUCACACAUGCCUAACUUGCAAAUUAAGGUAUGAUAGGUAUUGUUACUAAGCCUUUUGGUAAACAUAUUAGCUAGCUAUUCAUUGGUAUUCACAUGAUCUAACCUCAAAAUACCAUUUAUUAACUUCUCUUUAAUGAAGUGUCGAUCAAUCUCUAUGUGUUUCGUUCAGUCAUGUUGAACCGGGUUGUGAGCUAUACUGAUGGCAGCUUUAUUGUCACAGUACAAGAGAAGUUUGUCCCUAUCUAAUAGUUUCAAUUCCUCCAACAAUCUCUGCAACCAUAGGAGUUUACAAACACCUUGUGCCAUCGCUCUAUAUUCCGUCUCAGUACUUGAUCGAGCAACAACACUUUGCUUUUUGCUUCUCCAAGUGACAAGGUUUCCUCCCACAAGUAUAUAGUAACCAUUAGUCGACCUACUAUCAUUAAGAGAUCUAGCCCAAUUUGCAUAUGUGAAUCAUGUAUGCGAAGAUGACCGUGUUUAGAGAAUAUGAUAUCUUUUCUAGGAGUGCGAAAUGCGAAAAACAGCUUGUAUGUGAGACUCAUAAGGAUCAUGCAUAAAUUGACCGACAAAAUUGACUACAUAGGCUAUGUUUGGUCAAAUAUGCGAAAGAUAAAUCAGUCUGCCUACCGAUCUCUGAUAUGUGCGAAUAUCCACUUAUUCACCAAUCCCUGCUUGUAGCUUGUGAUUGCUCUCAGCGGGAGUUUCUGCUGGUUUGCAACCUAAUAUACUGGUUGCUUCCAAAAGAUCUAGAAUGUGUUUUCUCUUAGAAAUAAAUAUUUCCUUUGAUCUGGAAAUCUCGAUUUCUAGGAAAUAUUGCAGUUUUCCUAGAUUUUUAAUUUCGAACUCCUGAGCCAAAAGCUUUUUCAGCCAAGUUAUCUCUUCAGUGUUAUGAGAAGAGUAAUUUUACUUUUAUGAUGUUUGAUAAAUAGGGUAUAAUCAGUAUUGCUCUGUUGAUAGUUAAAGGAAAUUAUAGCUCAACUGAAUCGAUCAAACCAAGCUCUGGGUGAGUGCUUCAACUUAUACAAAGUCUUUUUUAGCCUGCACACAUUUUCCUUGUGUUUUUUUAUUAGCAAAUCCAGAAGGGAUUUCCAUAUACACUUCCUCCUCCAAGUCUCCAUGGGGGAAUGCAUUUUUCACAUCAAAUUGUUGUAGGUUCUAAUCAAGGUUGACAAUGCAAGAUAGCAAUACUCUGAUUGAGUUCAUUUUAGCAAUAGGGACAAAUGUCUGCUAGUAAUCCACUCCGUAGAUCUUUAAUUUCAAACUCUUGAGCCAAAAGCUUUUUCAGCCAAGUUAUCUCUUCAGUGUUAUGAGGAGUAAUUUUACCUUUAUGAUGUCUGAUAAAUAAGGUAUGGUAGGUAUGGUCAAUAUUGCUCUGUUGAUAGUUAAAGGAAAUCAUAGCUCAACUGAAUCGAUCAAACCAAGUUCUGGGUGAGUGCUUCAACUUAUACAAAGCCUUCUUUAGCUUGCACACUUUUUCCUUGUGUUUUUUCAUUAGCAAAUCCAGAAGGGAUUUACAUAUACAGUUCUUCAUCCAAGUCUCCAUGGGGGAAUGCAUUUUUCACAUCAAAUUGUUGUAGGUCCCAAUCAAGGUUGACAGCACAAGAUAGCAAUACUCUGAUUGAGUUCAUUUUAGCAACAGGGACAAACGUCUCCUACUAAUCCACUCCAUAGAUUUGAGUAUAUUCUCUGGCAACUAGUCUAGCUUUAAAUAUUUCAAUUUAUCCAUCUGCUUUGUGUUUCACAGUGAACACCCAUUUGCAGCCAACUGGUUUUUUUUCCAGGUGGAAGAGACAUCUAACUCCCAUAUCUCAUUUUUAGCCAAGAAUUUCAUUUCUUCAAUCAUUGCUCCCUUCCAAUUAGAACUUUUGAGAGUUUCCUUCCAAUCCUGUGGGAUAGACACAAAGGAAAUAGACAAGGUAAAAGCUCUAUAGGAUGGAGACAAAGAAUCAUAAGAGAGAAAGUUAGAAAUAAAAUGCUUUGUGCAAGACCUAACUCAUUUUCUUUGAGCAAUUAGUUUAUUUAGAUCAUCAAUGGGCUCAAGGCUUAGGGAUGACUCACCAGAUGGAAAAGAGAAAGAUUCAUAACACUGAGUAGGCUGCACAAUUACUUUUUCUGCUUCUGUUUUGUCUCUUUUUGAGUAUCUCUUUAAAUCUGAUUUAUCCAAACUCCCAAUUUGGUCACCCAUAGUCUCCCCUUGUAUAGUAGUCUCUUGAUCACCAAUAGUCUCCCCCUGUAUAAUAGUCUCCUCUAGAGUUAUAAGACUAGAAAUCAUCUUUUCUCUCUCAUUGUCCUUCCCUUGAAGAGAUAAUGGGGUAGUACUGAAAUAAGAUUCAGUUUCUCUAAAUGUAACAUCCAUAUGGACAAAGUAUUUUCUAGAUGGAGGGUGGUAACAUUUGUAACUCUUUCGUGUGGGAGAGUACCCAACAAACACACAUUUAAAAGCCCUCGGAUCAAGCUUCGCACCUGUCUUAAUAUGAACAAAACACGUGCACCAAAUACCUUUGGUAAAAUAGUACAAGCAUUUUUCCCUUGCAGCACCUCUAAAGGGCUUUUAAAGGCAAGAGUUUUGAGGAGAUAUUCUAUUAAUGAGAUAAGCAGUGGCUAAGAUUGCAUCUCCUCGAUAGGUUUUUGAAAGAUUCAUAGUGAAAAGGAGAGAUCUGACUACUUUUAACAGGUGCCUAUUUUUCUUUUAAGCAACACCAUUCUGGGUACUAGUGUAAGGACAAUUAGUUUGAUAUAGUAUCGUAUUAGACUCCAGAUAAGCGAAAAAACGUCUAUCCAUAUACUCUGUGCCAUUAUCAGUUCUCAAAACUUUUAUCUUGGUAUCAAAUUGAGUAUAAACCUUCUUGUGAAAAGAUUGAAUGCAAGAAAAUACAUCACUCUUUACCUUUAUCAAAUAAACCCAAGUUAUACGAGUACAACAAUCAAUAAAAGUAACAAAUCAACGAUUAUCAGAUAGUGAGACCAUUUGAGCAGGUUCCUAAACGUCAGAAUAAAUAGUCAAAAAAGGGAUUAUACUCCUAUUGUGACUUGAGGGAUAAGAGGUUCUUGUAUGCUUAGCGUACUCACAAGCAUCACGAAUCAUGGUAUCUUUUUUUAGACAUGGAAGAUAAUUAAGAAAGUAUUCAGAUGAGUCCGUCAUAUGUCUAUUUGCACUAGAAUUAAUAAUCCAUGGAGUAGAACCAAGAGACGAAAUAGAAGCAUUAUCACAAGUCCUUACAUUACCCAUACAAGUCAAAGCCAUUUCAAGAAAAACCACCGUUAUUUUGUCAAAAAUAGUGGAAAAAUACUGUUAUUGGAAAAGAAUUAUUAUUCACCGGCGAAAAGGUGUGGGUCCAAGCAGAUCAGAGGCGCGACUUGAAGUCGAGUCUGCCGGAAAGAAUCAUGACCAGAAAAAAUCACCGGAAAAUGUCUCCCACGCUAAAAAGUGACACGGGAUGGCCGAAAAAGGAAUUGGAAACACGGAGUGGACCGAACAAUGUAGCAGCAUCGAACAGUGUCUCACGCAUUGGAAAGGAAGGGCGCAUGAGCCUCACACGCAUGGCUUUCCGGCGAUGGAGCUGGCCGGCGGCGGCAAUGAGAUGUGAAAAGUCUCUAGAUAGAGUAGUACCAAAAAGGUAGAUCUAGGGUUUUAGAAAUCCUAAAGAAAAAAAAUUGAAUUUAAACUAUAAAAUCAAGAAAAAACUCUAAUACUGUGAAAAAUUUUGAGAGGAAUUUUUUAUUUUAUUCCAAUUGAAUUAAUCUUUACAAGAUUUGAGUAUUUAUACACAAAAAAUCAAUCUAAAUCACAAAUAUUUACAAUAAAAAUAAAAUCUCUAUAAUCAAGUCUAAUUAGGAAGGAACCUUCUAUAUUGGUCAACAAAAAUAAAAUCUCUAUAAUCAAGUCUAAUUAAGGAGGAACCUUCUAUAUUGGUCAACAAUUAUUCUCUCAAGCAAAUUGGAAAUCUAUAGUGUUAAUCUAAGGUACUAAAAAGGAAGAAUACAAAUCAAGAAAUUUUAGGCUAAUUUACAGCCCUAAUCAGUGCAUAUCUACAUAUUACAACAAUAAAGGAAGAGAAAAUCUCAAAUAUCUUAAUAGGAGGAAACUGUGUCAUAGAAAAGAAGUAAGAAACAUGGUGUAGUUUUUGAUCUAGUACUCAAUAAGAAUGUGAAGCUAUGACACAAUAUGAGUGAAGUACUGUGGAUAUAUCAUUUAUUUAAUUACACUGCUCUUAAGAUCUCAAUAUCAUUACCUGCAAAUUGAAUUACUCUGUAUUGUCUCCAAUCUUGUAUUUCACAAAUGAUUCAAAUAUUGAGAUUAAUUACAAAUUUGUUCAUAAAAAAGAUCCAACAAAGGGUUAUCUAAAUAGGAUACAUGAAGACCAAAGAAAUUAGAAGUUACCUUCGUAAAGACUUAAUGAAAAUUGAGUGGAUUAUAGUUGUAACAAGCUAGGCAUGAUUAACAUCUUGCUCCUUCUUGAAGGGGAUUGUUAUAGAAUAGGAAGUUAUUGUAGAAUAGUAAGUCAAUUAGUAGAAAGCCAAUUCAGUUAGCAUAAUUAUAAGGAUGGAGUUUGUAAAAGUUCCCAAUUAGUUGGCUUUGAUUAUAGGAAGAAUUGUAUGUAAAUUUAUAUUAAAUCUUUACGAAAUAUACGUUAGUUUAUCACAAAACAUAACAAGCAAGUUGAACUUAUUAUCAUUAUUGCUUUUGCUCUCUCUUUAUCUCUCACUCGCUUGAAUGUACACACAAAAUUGUGGGAAGUUAGAACUAUUAAAGUUUAGAUUGCUGCACAUUAAUCAUGUGGCCCGACUUUCAUUUGCAUUUUAAGCAUGCAAAGGAAGCUAUUCCCAUUAGUUUUGUAUUUAGCUUGAGUAUAUUGCUUGAUGCAAAAUAUCUGAAUGAUACAGAAAAACAUGCUCAUAUUUAUGUGUUUAUGUACUAGGUUAUUUGAUGCAAUAUUUAUAAAUAAC
rnacentral:lncRNA from 1 species